CCCAGGGCCUUUUCCCUGAACUACAUCUCCAACCCCAUUAUUUUAUUUUAUCAUUCUAUUCUAUUCUAUUGAGACAGUCUUGCUAAAUUGCACAGACUAAACUUGAAUUUGGGAUCCUCCCCCCUUACCUCCCGGAGUGUUGGAAUUAUAGGUGUGCACCACUACAUUCAGCUACCCUUUAUCAUUUUGUGUAGGUGCUUAUUGAAUCUCCAACAAAAUUAUAAGCUAUUUAAGAGAAGGAAUGAUGCCAUAUAGUUGUAUAUCUAUAAAACCAGUGGUUCUCAAGAGUGUUAGACCAUCAAAAUUCCCUAGGAGCUUUCACAAGUAUAAAUUCUGACUCAAGGGGCAGGGUUGAGAACCACUGUCAUGUAAUAACUAGCCUAGUGAUUGACAUAUAAUAAACAGUCAAGGAUGCUACUGGCAGUCUAUCUGAGAAACUUUUGAUUAAGUAUCAUGUUCCUAAGUCCCAAGGUCGCUACCAAAAUUCUUGCAAAAUCAUUGUAGCCCUUUAGUUAACUCUUACUAUUUACAUUUGUAUAUUUGCUUAUGUGUAUCCAUCCAGUCUACUGACAUAGUCAUCAGAUUACAUUUCCUUGCAACAAGACAUUAUAUUGUUUGGCUCUCUAAUAUUUGCAUUAAUUUCAGGUAAGCAAUGUAUAACUUUCAGUGAUGUAUUUAUUAAAUAUGUGAUUUAAAUAACCAGUAAAAAACAUCUGCUCUUCUGUGUAGAACAUUAAGAUGAAGACUUUCUGCUUCUCUGAUUUUCUCUUGGAGCAGGGAUGUGGACAAUAUUUGCAACUCUUUAAACGGUUGAACUGUUAACUGGGCGCUCCAUGGAUGCAGGAUCCUGAGAGGCUGAAUGAGGUGACUAGGAGAAGGGCGUGUCUCUGAAAAUAGAACCGAAGGAAUGAAAAUGAAUAUCUUUUCCUUAAAAAAAUGAAACAAAGCAAGAAAUCUUUCAUCCCAUCUCUCCUGUGAAGCUCAAGGUAGCAUAAGGGAUAUUGAGGAAACACCACAGUGUCCACACCAAAUAGCAACCAAUAAUGAGA
ensembl:lncRNA